AUGGAUCUCAAGAUUGCUGCAUUUCUCCUCGUCCUGUUUGCCACCGUCACCAUCUCUGAAGGUGGUAAAUACGGGUGUUGUUUGAAGACUUCAAAAGGAAUUACUCGAAGCAUGUGGAAAAUGGACAAAUAUGACAUUCAGCAGAAAGGUGGUUCCUGUGAAACAGACGCUGUGAUCGUGCAUGUAAAAGGGAGGAAGUACUGUCUCUCUUCAGAACUCCUGCCAGUCAUUGAGAAAUUGAUUUCUUCAAGAAAACAAGGACUCAUCCACUGAGAUCAAUAAAUAUAUCCCACUGUGCAGAGCCUCCUCGAUACUUUUUUGCUUGUUAACUCAUAGACACCAGUGAUAAGAUGUAGACAUACAUCAUUUAUGUAUUCUAUGUAACGUUAUGUAGGCUGUUAAAGCUUGCAGAAGUCCUGUGCAUGAACAUCCUUACUGAUAACUGAGAAGCAUUUCUUUGAAUGUUUGAUGUCUGAUAACACUGUGGAAGCAGACCUUCUGAAAACUGCUUAAUCGCCAUGUAUAUACAUUGAAGAUGAGAUACAGAGACGGCCAACAUUUGUAUGUCCUCAUUGAUUGAACUCAUCAUUGAUUACCUUGCAUUUUGUGGAUUUGGAGAUUGCCAUGAUGUUGAUGAUGCCACAGGUUGCCAUCUUUAGAGGCUGAAAGACGCUGCUGAUUGCCAUUCUUAAGAAAAGCAACAAAACUGGCACUAUGAGAAGUGGAACCCUGAUAACUAGUAGAGCAUAUGCAGAUCAUUGUGCCAGACCAUGCACACACUGUAAAUAAAGUUCCUUUGUCAUUUCU